rnacentral:rRNA from 1 species
CGUAGGGGGCAAGCGUUGUCCGGAUUCAUUGGGCGUAAAGCGCGUGUAGGCGGCCAGGUAGGUCUGGUGUGAAAACUCGAGGCUCAACCUCGAGAGGUCAUCGGAAACCAUCUGGCUAGAGUCCGGAAGAGGAGAGUGGAAUUCCCGGUGUAGCGGUGAAAUGCGCAGAUAUCGGGAAGAACACCUAUGGCGAAGGCAGCUCUCUGGGACGGUACUGACGCUGAGACGCGAAAGCGUGGGGAGCGAACAGGAUUAGAUACCCUGGUAGUCCACGCCGUAAACGAUGGGUGCUAGGUGUGGGUGGUGUCGACUCCAUCCGUGCCGCAGCUAACGCAUUAAGCACCCCGCCUGGGGAGUACGGCCGCAAGGCUA